UUUAAGAAGGAAUGAACGAAUUGAGGACAAAUGCUAUUGAUCCACUGAUUUGUUAUAAAAAGGUGGAGAUCACUGUUUUUCCUUGCUUUUUGUUCUAAUCCAGAUGUCACUAGCCAUGUAAGGCUUUAGUCAUGAACUGUACAGCCUUGUUUUUUAGCUAAAGGGGAUUCUUAGCUCUGAUUAUGUUUCCGCCUUAUAUUCAUCGAUGCUUCAAUUCCGUUAAGGAAGAAUGAGAUAAGACGUUCCUUCCAUAAAUGAAAGGUUAUCAUACUACAUUCCCAGGAAAAAAGUGAAUGAGCUGAGACCUGUGGAUAUUCUUCAGCAUAUGCAAGCCAUAUACAGUGAGGAGAGUUUGGCUUGCAGAACCAUGUUUACACAGUAUGAGACGUUUCACAAAAGCUGUAAAGCUUCAACAGAUAAACCACAACUGGAGCAGAGUAAGUUCACCAUCACAAGGAAAGCAUUGCCACGAUAGACCAUGCAGUAAAGGCUAAUCAGCAGAUAACCAUUCAAUAAUCGGCACACAAAAGUGACCUCAAUAUCGGCUUAAUCAGUGCAAUCAUUCAUCAACAUCUGAAGUUCGAAAAUAGUGUGUGUCCAAUGGGUUCCAAAGCAUCUGACAGUGGAACAGAAGUAAAAUUAUACGGAUUCAUCAUUGGCAUUGGAGCACCUUACAUGUUACUGCAGUUGUGAGAAUAAAUUUUUGCCACAAGUUAUCACCAGUGAUGACACACGAUGCACAUUUUUGACUCAAGAUAAAACACACGAGCAAGCAGUGAAAACAUCUAUCUUCAUCAACAAGAAGGAAGACUUGUUCUACCACAAAUUCUGGUGACCAUUGUAAGGACAGAAGACGCCGACGAAAGGCGAAGAAAGCCCGCUCGGGUGAAGACAGGAGUUGCCGACGGGGCGAAGAGGGGUCCCGUGUCACGUUUCUUUAAGGCCCGCUCGAGUAAAGAGGCCGACGGGAGAUGAUGAGUCCUCCGAGUGUCCCGCAUGUUUAAGAUCCGCUCGGGUGAAAACAGAAGAUGCCGAGGAAAGGCGGAGAAGGCUUUCUGUGUCUCGUUUUAUUAAAUUUCGCGCAGGGCGAAAUUGUUUUGUUUUUGUUUAUUGAGGUUCGGUAUGAGUUUGUAGUAUAUUUUGUGGCCCUAACGCGCUUUUUAUUGACCUGGGAUCUUAGUGGCUUUCUUUCUUUCAUUAUUACUAGUUGUUGUAAUAUCGUAUCCAUUAGUUUAGAUUGUAACGAUACGGUGUGUUUCGAAUAGUUGAAUUUGAUGUAUUCAGAGGAAAUUAUAAAUAUUUUCAUUGUGUGAGUUAGGACGAAUGAAACUCGACAAGCGAUGUCAGUCGCUUAUAAAGUUGCAUUCUUCCCAACUCUUGUGGAACUCUGAAGCAGCCACCUCCACGUGGUGAGUUCUGGGUUGUCGAAUGGCAAGCGAAGAGCCGCUUGUUUCUUUCAAUUGAUAAUAAGAAAUGAAAACAUGCCAAUAAAAACAGAAUUUACAAAA